rnacentral:rRNA from 1 species
UACGUAGGGUGCGAGCGUUAAUCGGAAUUACUGGGCGUAAAGCGUGCGCAGGCGGCUUCGCAAGUCAGGCGUGAAAUCCCCGGGCUUAACCUGGGAAUGGCGUCUGAAACUACGGAGCUGGAGUGUGGCAGAGGGAGGUAGAAUUCCACGUGUAGCGGUGAAAUGCGUAGAUAUGUGGAGGAAUACCGAUGGCGAAGGCAGCCUCCUGGGCCAACACUGACGCUCAUGCGCGAAAGCGUGGGGAGCAAACAGG